rnacentral:rRNA from 1 species
GUCUACAGCCAUGCCACCCUGAACAAGCCUGAUGUCUGAUCUGGGAAGCUAACAGGGUCAGGCUUGGUUAGUACUUGAAUGGGAGACCACCUAGGAAGACCAGGUGCUAUAGGCA